rnacentral:lncRNA from 1 species
GCCCUUUCGUCAAAGUGGUUAAGGUUUCGGAAGAUCAAUUCGAAGCUUAGGCAUGAAAUGGAAUAGCCCACUUUUUUCAAGGAUCUUUUAUUGAUAAAAUCUUAUUCAAAUGAUUGAUGUGACCUUUGUAAUGAGAAAUAUGUCAAAUCUUGUCGAGCAUUGAUUGUAGGGUUGUUUCCUUCUUCAAGGGAAUAUGAGCCGGAACACAUGCCCCAAAAGUGUGUUAUUGUGUUGAACAGACUUAGCUUGGCAAGACAUAAAAAUAGGUCAUUCCAAUCACCUCCAGUGCCUAGAAAUAGGCCUCAACUACCACCUCCCUUUGCGAGU